AACGUAGGUGGCGAGCGUUAUCCGGAUUUACUGGGCGUAAAGGGUGUGUAGGUGGCGCCGUAAGUCGGGUGUGAAAUUUCGGAGCUUAACUCCGAAACUGCAUUCGAUACUGCGGUGCUUGAGGACUGGAGAGGAGACUGGAAUUCAUGGUGUAGCAGUGAAAUGCGUAGAGAUCAUGAGGAAGACCAGUGGCGAAGGCGGGUCUCUGGACAGUUCCUGACACUGAGACACGAAGGCCAGGGGAGCAAACGGG
rnacentral:rRNA from 1 species